rnacentral:rRNA from 1 species
GCGCAUUAGCUAGUUGGUGAGGUAAUGGCUCACCAAGGCAACGAUGCGUAGCCGACCUGAGAGGGUGAUCGGCCACACUGGGACUGAGACACGGCCCAGACUCCUACGGGAGGCAGCAGUAGGGAAUCUUCCGCAAUGGACGAAAGUCUGACGGAGCAACGCCCCGUGAGUGAUGAAGGUUUUCGGAUCGUAAAGCUCUGUUGUUAGGGAAGAACAAGUACCGUUCGAAUAGGGCGGUACCUUGACGGUACCUAACCAGAAAGCCACGGCUAACUACGUGCCAGCAGCCGCGGUAAUACGUAGGUGGCAAGCGUUGUCCGGAAUUAUUGGGCGUAAAGGGCUCGCAGGCGGUUUCUUAAGUCUGAUGUGAAAGCCCCCGGCUCAACCGGGGAGGGUCAUUGGAAACUGGGGAACUUGAGUG